rnacentral:sRNA from 1 species
GCUGAGGGCUCGUGAGGCAUUAACCCGCACACGUGUCGACACGAUUUCCUGGGUGCCCGCAAGGGUUGGAAAUUGGGAUGCGUGGAGGCCUAACC